AGUCGAGCGGACAGAAGGGAGCUUGCUCCCGGAUGUUAGCGGCGGACGGGUGAGUAACACGUGGGUAACCUGCCUGUAAGACUGGGAUAACUCCGGGAAACCGGAGCUAAUACCGGAUAGUUCCUUGAACCGCAUGGUUCAAGGAUGAAAGACGGUUUCGGCUGUCACUUACAGAUGGACCCGCGGCGCAUUAGCUAGUUGGUGAGGUAACGGCUCACCAAGGCGACGAUGCGUAGCCGACCUGAGAGGGUGAUCGGCCACACUGGGACUGAGACACGGCCCAGACUCCUACGGGAGGCAGCAGUAGGGAAUCUUCCGCAAUGGACGAAAGUCUGACGGAGCAACGCCGCGUGAGUGAUGAAGGUUUUCGGAUCGUAAAGCUCUGUUGUUAGGGAAGAACAAGUGCAAGAGUAACUGCUUGCACCUUGACGGUACCUAACCAGAAAGCCACGGCUAACUACGUGCCAGCAGCCGCGGUAAUACGUAGGUGGCAAGCGUUGUCCGGAAUUAUUGGGCGUAAAGGGCUCGCAGGCGGUUUCUUAAGUCUGAUGUGAAAGCCCCCGGCUCAACCGGGGAGGGUCAUUGGAAACUGGGAAACUUGAGUGCAGAAGAGGAGAGUGGAAUUCCACGUGUAGCGGUGAAAUGCGUAGAGAUGUGGAGGAACACCAGUGGCGAAGGCGACUCUCUGGUCUGUAACUGACGCUGAGGAGCGAAAGCGUGGGGAGCGAACAGGAUUAGAUACCCUGGUAGUCCACGCCGUAAACGAUGAGUGCUAAGUGUUAGGGGGUUUCCGCCCCUUAGUGCUGCAGCUAACGCAUUAAGCACUCCGCCUGGGGAGUACGGUCGCAAGACUGAAACUCAAAGGAAUUGACGGGGGCCCGCACAAGCGGUGGAGCAUGUGGUUUAAUUCGAAGCAACGCGAAGAACCUUACCAGGUCUUGACAUCCUCUGACAACCCUAGAGAUAGGGCUUUCCCUUCGGGGACAGAGUGACAGGUGGUGCAUGGUUGUCGUCAGCUCGUGUCGUGAGAUGUUGGGUUAAGUCCCGCAACGAGCGCAACCCUUGAUCUUAGUUGCCAGCAUUCAGUUGGGCACUCUAAGGUGACUGCCGGUGACAA
rnacentral:rRNA from 1 species